rnacentral:hammerhead_ribozyme from 1 species
GCAUUGCUGAUGAGUCCAAUCCUAGGACGAAACGGCCGUCUUAUGC